rnacentral:rRNA from 1 species
AGCGACAGGCCUAACACAUGCAAGUCGAGGGGCGAGCGACAAGGAGCAAUCUGAGUGGCGACCGGCGCACGGGUGAGUAACACGUAUGCAACCUGCCUGUAAGCGGGGAAUAACCCGUUCGAAAGACGGACUAAUACCGCAUAAUACUAAAUUACUGCAUGGUAAUUUAUUUAAACAUUUAUGGCUUACAGAUGGGCAUGCGCAUGAUUAGCUAGUUGGAGAGGUAACGGCUCCCCAAGGCAACGAUCAUUAGGGGUUCUGAGAGGAAGGUCCCCCACACUGGUACUGAGACACGGACCAGACUCCUACGGGAGGCAGCAGUGAGGAAUAUUGGUCAAUGGACGAGAGUCUGAACCAGCCAAGUCGCGUGCAGGAAGAAUGUCCUUAAUGGAUUGUAAACUGCUUUUGCAGGGGAAUAAAGUGCAUCACGUGUGAUGUUUUGUAUGUACUCUGCGAAUAAGGAUCGGCUAACUCCGUGCCAGCAGCAGC